CCCUACCAUUCUCGUCCUUUAUGCACCUAACUUGGUCAAGAUCACGCGCGUUCCUUUCCCUUGCUUUAGCUAACCGGAAUAACUUCCCGUCCCUGCCUUUCUCCCCUAAUUCCUCGUACAUGCGACCAAACGCCGCGUUUUUAGCUUCCGUAGCCGCCAACUUUGCUUCUUUCCUCGCCACCUUGUAGAUCUCCCUGUUCGCUCUCUGUUCUUCCUCGCUUGUGCUCCC
rnacentral:lncRNA from 1 species